AAUGAGUUUAGGAAACGUCGACGCUAAUCGUUUUGGUGACCGAUCGAUUCGCCGCUCACCGAUUCGUUAUAUACUGUAUCACCAUUGAAUUUAUAAUCUAAAAACUGAAGAGUGAUGUUCAGAUUGUUUGAUGAUUGAUGAAACAAAUCGGUCCGUCGGCGUCGAUUCGGUAUCGUGUGACGGUGAAACGAUACUAUGGUGACGAUAUGAACGAGAUAGGUAUUUAUUUUGAUACCCAGUGGUUAAAGUGGGACGGAGAGAGUCUUCUUUAUUAUUUAAUUUAAAACUAUAAGUCUCCUCUAAUGUAAGUCCUCGAAGGCCGGAGGGUCGCUUUAGUUAUUGGGACUGAAAUAUUUAGUGCAGUUUUAAAAACUUGAAUAUCUAUUAGAUUACCUAUGUACAAUCAGACUUUUUACUAAAAACUGUUUUUACUAAACAGGCAUAUGUGUAGGAUAAUAUUUAAAAGGAGGAGUUGUGUAAUACUGGAAUUUACUUUUAAAUUCUAAAAGUACAUAAUUUUUAUAAACACGUGUAUGUGUGAGAGAAAAACAUUUUGGAAGUCACGUCUCCAUGAUGGGGUUCCUGAAAGUUCUCGGGAAAGCCAUUCAAUUUUCAGUAAAUAUCCGCCUUCAAAAUUUGUUCUCACUUUUACCACUAAAUCGAUGCCUUUUUCUACACUUCAAUAUUUUAAACAACAAGUUUUGCAUAUACAAUGUUAUUAAUUAUAAUGUACAAAAUAUACACAAUUUAUUUAAUGAUAAAGGUUUUAGAUUUUUAGAUAUUAGAAGUAUUCAUUCAAUUAUUCUCCUACGGACGUUUAGCGGAACGAAGUUUCAUAUACGGAUACGAGUAGUUUGAAAA